AUGGAGUUCUCUCGCCGCGGUCGAGCCACCGACGACGCCGGCGACGCCCACCGCUUCCCCGACCCCCCGUCGCACGGGGAGGAGGAGCCGAUGACGGUGAUGAGGGCUGCGCUGCUCUCGCAGCUCCACAUGGACCGCCUUCGCCAGGAGAUCAUCGUGGCCGAGCUGGCCAAGAUGGAGCGCGCGGCCGUGGCGCCAUUGGAUGGCGUGGCCGCAGCAGAUGCUGGGCGGCCUAGGCCGUGCCCGCUCAGUGCCGAGCAGCUCAUGGCCCUGCGCGCCGCCACGCCGAUGCCAUUGCUUGGCCUGGCCGCCACAGAUGCUGGACGGUAUGGGCUUUUGCCAUUCGGUGCCGAGCAGCCCAUGGCCCUGCGCGCUUCUGCCGGUGGGCAACAGACUACAUCGAUGCCAUUGCACAGUGUGGCCGCCGCGGAUGCUGGACGGUCUACGCCGUGGCCGUUCAGUGACGAGCAGCCUAUGACCCUGCGCCUGCGCGCCAUGCCCGGUGGCCACCAGACCCCGCUGAUGCCAUGGUGCGGCGUGGCCACCACAGAUGAUGGACGGUCUAAGCCGUGGCCGUUAAGCACCGAGCAGCACAUGGCCCUGCGCGCUGCCGCCGAUAGCAACCAGGCCACUCCGAUGCCGAUGUAUUGCGCGGCUGCCGCAGGUGAUGGACGGUCUAAGCCAUGUCCAUUCAGUGCAGAGCAGCCCAUGGCCCUGCUUGCUGCGGCCGGUGGCCACCAGACCACCCCGAUGUCAUUGCACGGCGUGGCCGUCGCAGAUGCUGGGCCGUCUAAGUCGUGGCCUUUCACUGCCGAGCAGCAGCCCAUGGCCCUGCUUGCUGCUGCCGUUGGCCACCUGCAGACCACCCCGAUGUCACUGCACGGCAUGGCCGCCGCAGAUGCUGGACCUUCUAAGCCGUCGCCGUUCAGUGUCCAGCGGCUCAUGUCCCUGCGCGCUCCGGCUGGUGGCCACCAGGCCACGCUGAUGCCAUUGCAUGGUGCCGAUGCCGCAGAUGCUGGAUGGUCUAAGCCGUUGCCGUUCAGCGCCGAGCAGCCCAUGGCCCUGCUUGAUGCGGCCGGUGGCCACCAGACCACCCCGAUGUCUUUGCACGGCGUGGCCGCCGCAGAUGCUGGAUCGUCUAAGCCGUGGUCGUCCACUUCCGAGCAGCUCCUGGCCCAGCGCGCCGCCGCUGGUGGCCACCAGGCCACGCCAAUGCCAUUGCACCGUGUCGAUGCCGCAGAUGCUGGAUGGUCUACGCCGUUGCCGUUCAGUGCCAAGCAGCCCAUGGCCCCGCGCUCUGCGGCUGGUGACCACCAGGCCACGCCGAUGCCAUUGCAUGGAGCGGCGGCGGUGGCAGAUGCUGGACGGUGUAAGCCGUGUCUGUUAAGCGCCGAGAAGCUCAUGUCUCUACAGAAUGCAGAGUUUGAUGAGCACAAACUGCCUGACUCCAAUAAGGCUGUUCCGCCAAGUAAGACGUCGCUUGCGGAGAAGUCGGAACUAACAGGAAUAACCAUUCCAGUUAAGAAGCUCAAACCACCCAAGAAAUGGAACUGCACCGUCUGCCAGGUGCAAGCGACCUGUGAGAAGAACCUACAGAUGCAUUAUGCUGGGCAGAAGCACUUGGCAAAUGUAGCAACACUGGGCCCAGGAACCAAGCCAAGUGAUCAGAAGGCGAAAGCAGGAGCAGCAGAACCUUCUCUUGGCACAGAACAGAGGAAAACAUCCUCGAUAAACUGGAGUUGCAGUACCUGCCAGGCCCGCGGCACAUCCAAAUCGACAUUUGAUGCGCACCUCCAAGGCAAAAGACACCAGCAGAACAUUGCGGAAGCAUCCGUAAAAGGCGAUGGCGAUGGCGCACCGAAGAACGCCGCAGUGGCGGGGGAAGCAAAAUCGGAUGGCAUCACCGUGCCGAAGCCUUCAGAGAAGCCAUCACGGGUCUGGAGCUGUGGCAUUUGCCAAACUACAUGCACCUGCGAAACAGACUUGAAGAACCACCUGAAGGGCGCCAGACACCGAGAAAAGGUCCAGUCCCUGCUUGAAGAAAGCAAGAACGUGACAAGGAAUCCUGAGACAAACUUGAAGAAAAACAAUGCACCACAAAUGGUCAAGAACCAAGGACCACACCCGGCAUGGAACUGCACGAUGUGCCAGGCCAAAUGUUUCUCCAAAUCUCAGUUUGAGAAUCAUUGCAGUGGCAGCAGGCACCAGCAGAAUAUCGAGGCGAUACUCGGCAAACGCGAGACCGCGAAAGUGAGCAGCUCGAGGACCGCAAAUGAACCAGCUUCGGAUGGCUCCAGCGGCAAGAAUGCAAGCUCGAAGAAGGCGGAGAAGAAAGCGAUGUUGUACUUCUGCGAGGUCUGCAAUUUGCUGUGUGGCAGCAGUGAGAUGCUGGUAAGCCAUCGUUAUGGGAAGAGACACCGGGAAAAGCUCAGCGCAGGGAAAUGA
rnacentral:rRNA from 1 species